ACCUCACACUCCUUUGCUCAAGUUCCACUGGGAACUCAGAAUGUUCUUUAUGAUCUCAAAGGAAAUCCACAGAAGUUUAGUUUACAGCCUAAGAGCCAUCUAAAACACAAGUAAUUUUAAAGGCCUGAUGCUUUUUCAUCAUUUUAAAAUAACUACAGUGUUAGUGUGUGAUAGGGAUAUCUGCCGAGAGCAGUAGACCAGUCAACCAAUAGAUCACCAAGGAUAGAUAUCUGCUGUACCUUCUGUAAUUCUGGAAUCUUGGAAUCAGACCAGAUAAUGCCAUUCUCAUUCCCAGUGGUCCUUGCUCUUCGUCCCAGCAGGAAUGGAAAGCCCAGUUUUGCAGUGAUAUGACUGACAUAGCCCAGGAGUGUGAUGCUGCAUGUUCUACGGGGGAAACUACCGCCAUGCUGGCAGUAUGUGUGUACCACUGAGUCCCUUUGUUUCCCUCGACAUUUUGAAAUAAGUCGUGACACCAUCACCCCAAGUGUUGGAGGAGGCCGGAGGAGGAUGUCAAGUACUCUAGAGCUGGAGUUAUGGGCAGUCAUGAGGAGUUUGUGCGUGCUUCAGGAACUGAACUCAGGUCCUCUGCAAGAGCAGCACCCUCUCUUAACUGUUAUAGUGCAAGAACAGGUUCAACUAUAUGGCCUUAACAUUUAUUACAGAACAUCCUUCACUGGGCAUAGAAGAUGAUUCAUAAAAUUAUGUCUCCAGUAAGUUCUUGCUUACUGUGAACUAAAUGUAUAAUUCACAUUGUUGCUGGAUAAAUACCCACUGGAGUA